UUUUAUCUGGGUUGCUAACUCAAUGGUAGAGUACUCGG
rnacentral:tRNA from 20 species